GGUUUUGGUGUUUCCUUUCUGGUAUUAGGUUUUCCAGAGAGAGGCUGUUAGCCUGUCUCUCGCCCACUCCACCACUGUGAAUCCUGGCUACUGGGGCUAGUUCCUUGCUAGGAAAAAAAAACUCUAGAGAAAUGUGUUUGUGUGUGGUGGGUGGGCGGGGGCCCUGAGGAUGCAGGGACUGUGUCUGCUGUGUUGUCUGUUAUAAGAUGUUUCAGACCUAUUUUGCAUACUGGCAGCGACAAGUUGAGACUUGUUCAACUUGACACAGUCCUGUGGUCAUAGCGAAUCUUUCUAAAGCUCUGAUCAGUCAAGAAGGGGGUUGUAUCAAUCCUCAGAACCCUGAGUGGAACUUUCUACAGGAUUUAUUAGGAGAAAAACCUUCCCGGAAGCUGCAGAAGGACAAAUACAGAAUCCGUGUCUGGGAGAAACCUCGUGGCCUGGUCUCCAUUAUUUGAGAUGAGUUACAUCUUGGAGGUGGGAAGUGAGUGAUGACCCUGAAGUGAGGACUCAUCUCUAGAUCUCCAAGGGCUGCAGCUCAGCCAGCACUUUACAAGGGUGAUCUGGAGCCAAACUGGCCUGUUGGCUGACCAUAGGUGACUCUGGGUAGCCCAUACCCAGGCUCAGCAGCAGUUGGGGAGCUGCCUCGAUUUCUGGUUACAGAAUUCCUGGAACUGAGUCACUGCAGUAAUUGCUGUGAUGAAUUGUGUUUACUUUGUGUGGGAUUCCAAACUGUAGCAGCAGUGACUACAGCUGGAAGACAGCAUGAUCAGCAGCUUCCAAGGCAGAGCCUGGCGUCAGAAAGCUGCAUUGCGCUAAUGCUGAAGCCUGUGGGAGCCUGUUGGAGAGACACUUGGAUGUUUAGCGAGCUGGUGACUCUCCUUGUCAUGAGUAAGCUUAGGACCUUGGGCAAGUCAUCCAAACUCUUCUGGGCAAGUCAUUCUCCUGCUUGGAUGCCUUGAGGCAGAGAGGCAGUGAGGUGAAGUGGUCAGUGCGUCGACUCUGCCUCUAGCCUGCUGGGGUUUGAAUCCACCUGUGUGAUGUUGUAUGAUAUUGACCUUUCUGGCUCUCAGCAUCCUCUUGUGUGAAAUAGGAGAUUUUAACAGUAUCUAUUUCGUAGGGUUGGUGUUUGAAUGAGUUAACAUAUGUAAAGUGAAUGGUACAGUGCCUGGCUUCCUGGCAAGAUUGCUAUCAGGAUUAAGGCAGGUUAAGCCCUUGGCACACACUAAGAGCUCAAUAAAUGUGAGCUGAUGUUA
ensembl:lncRNA PVT1 Pvt1 oncogene